UGGGGAAUAUUGGGCAAUGGGGGAAACUCUGACCCAGCAACGCCGCGUGAGGGAAGAAGGCUUUCGGGUUGUAAACCUCUGUCGCAAGGGACGAAGAAGUGACGGUACCUUGUGAGGAAGCCCCGGCUAACUACGUGCCAGCAGCCGCGGUAAUACGUAGGGGGCGAGCGUUGUCCGGAAUUACUGGGCGUAAAGGGUGCGUAGGCGGCGAAUUAAGUUGGAUGUGAAAUACCCGGGCUUAACUUGGGGGGUGCAUUCAAAACUGGUUUGCUAGAGUGCAGGAGAGGGAAGCGGAAUUCCUAGUGUAGCGGUGAAAUGCGUAGAUAUUAGGAGGAACACCAGUGGCGAAGGCGGCUUUCUGGACUGUAACUGACGCUGAGGCACGAAAGCGUGGGUAGCAAACAGGAUUAGAUACCCUGGUAGU
rnacentral:rRNA from 1 species